UCUGAGUCCUAUGAGAGGUAGUUAGUGUGUUGCUUGUCAUAGAGGGUUAGUAGUAUGUCGCUGGUCCAUAGAGGGUAGUAAGCAUGUCACUGGUCGUCCUGAUAGAGGUAGUAACAUGUUGCCUGGUCCUAGAGGGUUUUAGGUUAGUUUGCUGGUCCUUAGAGGGUGUUAGUGUGUUGCUGUGUCCUAUAGAGGGUUAGUUAGUAUGUCGCUGGUCCUAUAGAGGGUAGUAGCAUGUCUGGUCCUAUAGAGGGUAGGUAACCAUGUUGCUGGUCCUAUAGAGCGGUAGUUAACAUGUUCUGGUUCCUAUAGAGGUAGUUUAGCAUGUUUGCUGGUCUAUCGAGGGUAGUUAACAUUGUUGCUGGUCCUAUAGAGGUUAGUUAGCAUGUUGCUGGUCCUAUAGAGGGUAGGUAAACAUGUUGCUGGGUCCUAUUAGCAAGGGUAGGUAACAUGUUGGCUUGUCUUAUAGAGGUAUUUGUAUG
rnacentral:lncRNA from 1 species